rnacentral:lncRNA from 1 species
CUGUAGACGUUGAUCGUGGCUUGGUGGAAGUUGCGGAUCGAGCUUAGAUCGUCGUCGACGUUGCGCCGAGGAGCCGUUCGAGCGUACGUGCGUCGUGGUAGUGCCGUUGGAGGUCGAGCGUGCGCGUGGGUUCCGCUUCUUUCGACUUCUCGCCGUUGUUGGACUCGCUUUUGAGGUGGGUUGAAGUUACCGGAAUUUUCGGAUUUUCUCCUAAGCCUCAAUUGACAGCGUGUAUUUUUGGGUUUUGUAUAUCAUAUUUAAUAGCUUGAAUUCGUGGAUUUGUAUGUUCUUCGAAAUCUGAAUUUUGAGCAUAGUUAUUGGUUUAAAUAUAUUAUACAUGUUGGACUUGGAAUUGACUUAGGAGAAAACUAUAACUUCUACACUGUCAGUUUCUGAAAACUACCAUAUUUAGCUUUAAGAGCUGUAGUUUGUUUGUAUCGUCGCAGUUUGUAUGCGGUGGAUACUCAGAUUAGUAUAGGAUGAAUUUACGUUCGUGCUGGAUGCCGAGCUUAUUUUACAGUAGUGUGUAGACUGUUUCGGACUGUCGGGUGUCGUCGGGGUUGACGGUGAACCUAGUUUGCUGUUUUUGCAUCGGAUUGUGCCAAGGGCACAUGAGUUUUGGUUGUAGGACCAGUUAGACCCUUUUACUUUGAUUAUAGCCUGUGAAAGCUUGAUUGAGCUCGGCAGAGACAUACUUGCAUACUCGGUUGGGUAGCGCCCACGAGUGCCACUCCGGAGUUGGGCUUUGUGCG